CUACCGGGGUUUCUAAUCCCGUUCGCUCCCCUGGCUUUCGCGCCUCAGCGUCAGUUUUCGUCCAGAAAGCCGCCUUCGCCACUGGUGUUCUUCCUAAUAUCUACGCAUUUCACCGCUACACUAGGAAUUCCGCUUUCCUCUCCGAUACUCUAGCCUACUAGUUUCCAUCCCAUCACGGGGUUGAGCCCCGAACUUUUAAGACAGACUGGAUAGGCCGCCUGCGCGCGCUUUACGCCCAAUAAUUCCGGACAACGCUUGCCACCUACGUAUUACCGCGGCUGCUGGCAC
rnacentral:rRNA from 1 species